rnacentral:rRNA from 1 species
UUUUACAUCGCGCCCUUGUUUCUUUGAUUUCGCUGGAAACGGCGUCUAAUACCGGAUAUGAGCUGCUACCGCAUGGUCAUAUUGGAAAGAUUUUUCGGUCAGGGAUGAGCUCGCGGCCUAUCAGCUUGUUGGUGAGGUAAUGGCUCACCAUGGCGUCUACGGGUAGCCGGCCUGAGAGGGUGACCGGCCACACUGGGACUGAGACACGGCCCAGACUCCUACGGGAGGCAGCAGUGGGGAAUAUUGCACAAUGGGCGGAAGCCUGAUGCAGCAACGCCGCGUGAGGGAUGACGGCCUUCGGGUUGUAAACCUCUUUUAGCAUGGAAGAAUCGAAAGUGACGGUACCUGCAGAAAAAGCUCCGGCUAACUACUUGCCAGCAGUCGCGGUAAUAUUUAGGGUGCAUGCGUUAUCC